rfam:Aedes aegypti strain Liverpool supercont1.394 genomic scaffold, whole genome shotgun sequence.
AAAAUGGCCCUUCUCAGGGCCAGUAGAUCAAUUCGUAAAAGAGUUUU